GAGAAACAGACUCAGUCCUGCAGCUGAACUUCUUUAAUCUUCAUCUGUAUUCACGCUGAGUUCACAGAUUAGAGAUUUCACAUCAGAAUCCAGGUCUGUGUUGAUCCUCUUAGUGAGGCUGAUCCUGACUACAACAACUCCAUUACCCAUAAGCCCCUGAAAGCUGAUCACAGGUGACACCAGCCCGACCUUCUUUCCCUCAGCGUACGGAUCGAUCGGCGUUUCAGUCUGAAGAUGUUAUCUGAGUCUGAGCUUCAGACUUUAGAGGAGCAGUGAUGGAGGUCCAGGUGGAGGUCCAGGUGGAGGUCCAGGUUCUGGUUCAUCCAAAGGUUCUGAAUGUGGUUCUGAGUUCUGG